rnacentral:rRNA from 1 species
CGCUCUAGCGUCGUGCCUAUACCGGGCCGUCAACGGCAAAGUGGGCGUCUGCCUUCGGGCAAGAGCCGUUAAGCCUUGACGAGUAGGAGGGUCGCGGCGGUGUGCGCAGAAGGGUCGGGGCGUGAGCCCGCCUGGAGCCGCCGUCGGCGCAGAUCUUGGUGGUAGUAGCAAAUACUCUAGCGAGGGCCUGGAGGACUGACGUGGAGAAGGGUUUCUUGUGAACAGCCGUUGCACAAGAGUCAGUCGACCCUAAGCCCUAGGAGAAAUCCGAUGUUGAUGGGUAGCUAGACAAAAAUCUAUGUUCUGUCUGUUACGAAACGUUUCGGGCCCCCACCAAACUUUGCGUACCGAGGCCUUACAAGGCCAGGACGUUCUGCCUUUGUGUGUGACCGUCUGGCACUCGUUGUCUGGCAAGAGGGCUGGCUGAAACGCGAUGUUUCACCUCGCGGCCGUCGAUCAUUCUGUCCCGACAACUUCUGUCGUCUGGGACUGUGUGCUAGGCCAGAGGCUGAACUGGCGUGACAACUGCUCCUGUCGGGCAAAAGGGAAUCCGGUUCCUAUUCCGGAACCCGGCUGCGGAACCGUCACUCUGCGGGCACUCGCCUGCGAGCGCUCGUCGGGGUAACCCAAACUGGCCCGGAGACGCCGGCGGGGGGUCUGGAAAGAGUUUUCUUUUCUUUAUAAGCGUUCGAGUACCCUGGAAUCCUAUAGCAGGGAGAUAGGGUUUGGAACGCG